rnacentral:rRNA from 1 species
ACCUUCGGGGAACGAUAACGGCGUCGAGCGGCGGACGGGUGAGUAAUGCCUAGGAAAUUGCCCUGAUGUGGGGGAUAACCAUUGGAAACGAUGGCUAAUACCGCAUGAUGCCUACGGGCCAAAGAGGGGGACCUUCGGGCCUCUCGCGUCAGGAUAUGCCUAGGUGGGAUUAGCUAGUUGGUGAGGUAAGGGCUCACCAAGGCGACGAUCCCUAGCUGGUCUGAGAGGAUGAUCAGCCACACUGGAACUGAGACACGGUCCAGACUCCUACGGGAGGCAGCAGUGGGGAAUAUUGCACAAUGGGCGCAAGCCUGAUGCAGCCAUGCCGCGUGUGUGAAGAAGGCCUUCGGGUUGUAAAGUACUUUCAGUCGUGAGGAAGGCGGCGUCGUUAAUAGCGGCGUUGUUUGACGUUAGCGACAGAAGAAGCACCGGCUAACUCCGUGCCAGCAGCCGCGGUAAUACGGAGGGUGCGAGCGUUAAUCGGAAUUACUGGGCGUAAAGCGCAUGCAGGUGGUUUGUUAAGUCAGAUGUGAAAGCCCGGGGCUCAACCUCGGAAUAGCAUUUGAAACUGGCAGACUAGAGUACUGUAGAGGGGGGUAG